rnacentral:rRNA from 1 species
UACGAAGGGGGCUAGCGUUGUUCGGAAUCACUGGGCGUAAAGGGCGCGUAGGCGGCUUGAUAAGUCGGGGGUGAAAGCCUGUGGCUCAACCACAGAAUUGCCUUCGAUACUGUCGAACUUGAGACCGGAAGAGGUAAGUGGAACUGCGAGUGUAGAGGUGAAAUUCGUAGAUAUUCGCAAGAACACCAGUGGCGAAGGCGGCUUACUGGUCCGGUUCUGACGCUGAGGCGCGAAAGCGUGGGGAGCAAACAGG